GUUGAUUAGUUAGGAUCUCAACUGCAGAGUCAAUGGACAUCAACUAUUUACCACACUGCCUAAGUGCUGGCUGUGUGUUUUGCGGCUGCUCAAUUUGAACCCCAGGCGGCACUCUCAGUCUUAGGCGGAGAGGUUGGGGUUACCAAAAUCAUGUACCGCAAUAAACAGAUUAAUUAAUGGGGAGGAAGGUCUCCUCUUAGUUGCGAAGGCCAGGAGGUAUUUAUAGCAAUUCCUCAGGAAUGUAUAUAACUGCAAUGUCAACUCUUACCACCGUGUGGCAGCAAUUCUACAGGUUAGUACGUAACUGCAAUAUCAACUCUCACCACCGGGUGGCAACAAUUCUUCAGGUUAGUCUGUAACUGCAAUAUCAAC